AUAUCAAGGAAAUCUAGCCGGU
rnacentral:siRNA from 1 species